rnacentral:lncRNA from 1 species
AUGGAUUCUGAUGAAGAUACAAUUGAUAUGAACCAAGAUGUUUCAUAUGAGUAUUGUGAGGAAGAUACGGAUACUAUUUUAAUUGAUCUUGUAAAAAGCUUUCCUCAUCUUUAAAAGUAUAGCAGAUUUCCAAAACAUACAUAAAAAGGAUCGCGCAUGGAUCGAAAUCUUUUUCAUUUUAAAGUUAUCAGUUCCAGAUUGUCAAAGUGGAUGGCAAAGGCUUCAAGAAAAAUUUUCUCGCGAAAAAAAAAAAGAGAAUUAGAAAGUCGAAGUGGCAAUGAGGCAUCAACAAGAUCAACGUUUUCAUUAAAUAGUCAAAUGAAACUUGGAUAGUUUUGGAUAGUUUUGGAUAGUUAAAACUAGAAAAUAAGUUUAACUUUUUCUUCAAGAUAAACUAAAUUACAUAUUUUUGUAUUAUUUUCAUAUAAUUUAUGUAAUUUUUUAGACCUUGUACAAAUUUUGGAUCGAAAGGAACUCAUUAUUUUACUGCCAAAAUAAUGCCAAAAAAUACACGUAUUUCAGAAAAAUAUUUGAUACAUACAGUAGCAUCUACAAACAAAAAAACAAAAGAUGGAUGAAGAUGAUUUCUUUAGUCAUACUGUUGCAUAUCAAAUACGAAAAAUAGAAGAACUUCGAAAAUCAGAAUUAAAGGGGAAAAUAAUGAAAAUUUUAUAUGAGUUAUAAAGAGCUUUCUUUCUUUUACAUAGCUGGCAAACAUUUGACUCUAUACUUAAAUAAAGUAGAAAUAGCAGAA